rnacentral:rRNA from 1 species
AUUGAACGCUGGCGGCGUGCUUAACACAUGCAAGUCGAUCGGUAACAGGUGUAGCAAUACAUGCUGACGAGAGGCGGACGGGUGAGUAAUGCUUGGGAAUCUGCCUAUUAGUGGGGGACGAACCCGGGAAACGUACGGGCGUAAUACCGCAUACGCUCUACGGAGGAAAGCCGGGGACCGCAAGGCCUGGCGCUAAUAGAUGAGCCCAAGUCGGAUUAGCUAGUUGGUAGGGUAACGGCCUACCAAGGCGACAAUCCGUAGCUGGUCUGAGAGGACGGCCAGCCACACCGGAACUGAGACACGGUCCGGACU